UCAUGAUUGCUCCAAGUUUCAUUUCUCACUCGCUUUACCUUCACUUCCGAGCUGGCAAAUCGAUUGAAUAUGAAUUUUUCGUUUGCAGAUCAGGGAAUGUCAUAGUUGCGAUCGAUCUCUAUCAGUAAUGGCGAACCAGCAACAGGUUGAUUCAAGGCCGUGGAUUCUCGAUCUCGUUCCCUUUAUCGUUGUUAUUCUAAUUGCUGCUCAUGUUCUCGCGCUGGGCUACUGGAUUUACAGAUUAGCGACGGAUAACAGAGCUCAAAGGAGGAAAGCACAUUCAAGAACAGUUUAAUUUACUUAGAGAAGAAAAGAAGUUGGCCUGUAUUUUCAGUUGCUGCCUAUAAUGAGUUGCUCUAGGAUAUGGCACUAUGUAGUCGAUCUUAUGGUCGAGCGGUGGUUUCAUCCUCUGUUGUGAUUAAAAAAAUUGAUGAUGUCAGUUUGCAACGAGCCAGGAAUGGCAGUUAGUGGACAGCCAAGAACGAAAACGGAUUCGAUUCACUCUCCAUUCUCUCUUAAAUAAAGAGCUCACCCUCGAACUUUUAAUAGUCAGAGAUGGGUCGGCUGGGUCUUUCCUGUUCUGUUCUUGCAAUGUGGAUUGUUAAGUCUAUAGUUCUACAUUAUUGUUUUUGUAAGUUAUUUUACUUUAGCUGAUCAGUCUAUUCAAAAGAUUAGGUGCUGGUUGGGUGU